rnacentral:lncRNA from 1 species
ACGUUUACAGAUUUAAUUUCCGGUCUAAUUGGUACAAUUCUUCCGUCGGACCCGUCGUUGACCGCCGUUGAUUUUUAAGUCUCCCCUGCCGUAAGAACUCUAUUUAACAUUGACCUACGACGGCGUUCAACUUCUUCGUUCUUGCUUCUCAAGAAGGUUCGCUCUUCAAGUUUAAAGUCUCAAUUUUUUUCUUGUAAAGUUGCAAAGUUGGAAACUUUAAUUUUGGUUUGACCAAUCUCGAAGUUACAAAUUACUUGAGUACGUAGUUUCCUAUAAUCUUUUGGAUUCAAUUUCAUUACAACAACCAAUUUUAUACAAUUCACACCUCUCUAUGUUAGGCUAAGCUUCACUAAGAAACGAGUGUCUAGUUUCGUGAUCUUGUCUAAGUAUUAUCAUAUAGCUUCUAAUGUCGAGCGAGAAUUCUGAGUAAUCUCCAAAUCCAUCACUUUGUUCACAAAGUGAGAAUCUUUGUCUCUCUUCUCUGUUUCUUCUUUCUUCUGAAACAUUGUCUUCAGCUUCAUCUCUAAACCCUUUGGAGUAUAAUAUAAAUGCUUACUAUCACUCGUAGGAUCUUCUUCUACUAGAAGCUUUAUGUAGCUUUGUAGGUAACUCUUGUAUCUUGGCACAACUGUUUUCACCAUUGCUUGACAUAUCUUCCAUACCAACUUGUCAUCCUCAACAACCCAAUUUGAUUGCUUUGUGUAUAUCUCAUCAAAUCCUUUACAAAACGCUUGUAAUGUUCGCUUAAUGGACUCACGGGCUCGUUUUCCUUUCACAGGAGAUGAUUCUGAUGAUGAUGAUGAUGAUGAUGAAGUGGUUUGAGCUUUGUUUGUGAGUAGAGACAAGAGAUGUCCCCAGCUUUCUUUGACAUAAAGUGCAGCGUAAUAGUCUCUGUACUGCUCGUGUGCGUUUAACCAAGACUCUCCCAUCAUUUCCCCGAGAUAAGUCUCUCUCAAGCCGCAGAAAUGGGAGUGAUUGUUCAUCAUAAAGAUGCAAGAAAGAGCGGUUUCUUUGUUGGAACUUGACCAUGCGUCCAAGUUCAAAGCAAUCUCUCUCAGUAUGUUGUAGAUGUGACCUGUGAGAAGCUCUUCUUGAUACUUUGCGUUCUUCCAUCCCAAAUCAAUUUCUAGGACCUUCGACAAGAUUGGCUUGUUGUUGUUCCCCAGUAGCUUGUUGCAGUACUCAGUCACAACGCUUACAAGCUUUGGGACACCUCCAUCAAGAGGUGGGCAAUUUGGUCUCUGUAGCUCUACCUGACAAGGUAACUCCCAGAAGAUCUCGGAGACACCCUUAACGAGAUUGCUGAUUAGCUCCCGUGUAACUCUGCGUAUCUCUGAACAUUGUUCCCCUCGAAAUAGCCUGUUAAACUCUAUCCGAAAGUUGUCCAUUGUAGAGAAACAAUCUAAGAGCUUGAUCAGCUUUGGUGGCUCUCUCUUGCAUUUGCUGAUUCUUGAUCCAAAUCUGAGAAGCUGAAGGAUCACUGAAUUUGAAGCUAUUUCUCCAAAGCAACGCAAGGGAACAUCUUCUCCAAUAUCUUCAAAUACGUCAUAGCAGAGCUUACUCUCAAACUCGUAUAUCUCUUUCACAGCUAUCUCCAUAUGCAAUCUCCAUUGAUCUAUAUCGCCUUCAAUAUCAUGUACAUUAUCAGCUUCUGUGAUUGUUUUCUCCAGAUAACUAAUCUCAAACCGUUUCUGAAUGACCUUGGUGCGGACUUUGAUGUAAACUGGUACGCAGCUUGUUAACCGCGUGUGAGCAUGUAAUCUCUUGAUGAUAGCCUGCAACUUUCUCAAGUUGUCUUCUGAGAAAACCGGCUUCUCUUGGAGAAUCCGCUUGAAUUCUGUUUCAAGAUUCUUCAGCGCUGUGUAAAGAAUACCUCCUUUGAGAUAAGCACGAGACUCGGUCAUUUGCAAUUCCCGGAGAAGCUCUAUGGAAGUCUUGAACCGCAAACCGCAAGGAUGAUCUUCAGGCAUUCCCUUUUCGGUUAGGUACUCGAUCGUAUCUUCUAGCCAGUUAAGAGCAAGAACACAGCUACUGGAGAGAAGCUUCAUCGCUUCUCCAAGACGUUUAACAUCCGAAACAUAACCAAGGACUCCAUCAGAGGACACGAGAGAUCUCUCAAGCUCUUGAACCGUAGCAAAGACUCUCAGGACAGCGGAUAUUGGAGCAAUGGUGUGACGGAUAUGAUCAGAGAAAGGAGAAGCCUUCCAUCUCUCAACUUUAAGAUCAGCUUCUAAAGACGACAACUUAUGGUUGAUCUCUUCAAUCUUGGAUCCAGUCUUGUUAAGAACCAAUGAAAAGGUUUCAGAUUUCUCCAUCUCACUCUUCAAUAAACUUCUCAUUGCUUUAAGCCUCUCAAGUCUCUUUGAUUCAGCCAUUGUUUUGCUGCUUACUCAGUGGAGGAGGAUAUGAUUGUUGCUUCAACAACUAUAUAUGGAUUUGAUAACAAUCCUUUAUCCUCGGAAGAUAAACCAAAUUUCUUACCAAACCCACCAAAAUAAGUAAUUACCAGUGUUCUUCUUCUAAAGACUUCUAUAAACCAAAACAAGAUCACAUAUAAUCAUUAACUUAAAGCAAAACCCAAAGUCUUGUUUUAUUUGUUAGUCAGCUCAACCAUCUUUAUCUGAAACUAAACUGUUUCUCUCUUCUUUGUUUCUGACAAGUCAAUGAGAUUGGUGUCUUCUCUCUGUUGCACAUUUAAUAUUAACUUUUGAAAAACUACAAAACGAAACAAAACAAAGAAAAGCAGACAUUUACACGAAAUUAUGCAGACAUAUACACGAAAUUCAAUCUACCUGAAAAUGAGAAUAAGUUUUGAGUAA